rnacentral:lncRNA from 1 species
AAGAUUCUUCCAGAACCCAUCCCAGGCCUGACUGCCUAGGAAAUGUGACAUACACAUCUAGGUGUUGGAUAUGGAAAAUGUGUAGUUAACAAACUGUGAGCAGCUUCAAAGAACAAAAUGUUAACCGUUGUAAACAUCUAACUGGCUUCCACCGGAGCCAAGAAGCAUCCACCUAGAAGACAGAAGAUUCUCAUAGGUCUGUCAGAGAGCUGCUUUCAUGGGCAGAGAAGGCUGAGAGAGAAGGAAGGUGCUGGUCCCAGGCUG